rnacentral:sRNA from 1 species
AUGGCUGUCGUCAGCUCGUGUCGUGAGAUGUUGGGUUAAGUCCCGCAACGAGCGCAACCCUCAUUUUUAGUUGCCAUCAGGUUAAGCUGGGCACUCUAAAAAAACUGCCAGUGAUAAGCUGGAGGAAGGCGGGGAUGACGUCAAGUCCUCAUGGCCCUUAUGGUCUGGGCUACACACGUGCUACAAUGGUGGUGACAGUGGGAAGCAAUUUCGCAAGAAAUAGCAAAUCUCCAAAAGCCAUCUCAGUUCAGAUUGGACUCUGCAACUCGAGUCCAUGAAGUUGGAAUCGCUAGUAAUCGUAGAUCAGCAUGCUACGGUGAAUACGUUCUCGGGCCUUGUACACACCGCCCGUCACGCCAUGGAAGUUGGUUUUACCUUAAGCCGGUGCGCUAACCGCAAGGAAGCAGCCGUUCACGGUAGGGUCAGCAACUGGGGCGAAGUCGUAACAAGGUAGCCGUAGGGGAACCUGCGGCUGGAUUACCUCCUUUCUAAGGAUGAUUAAGGAAUUUUUCUUAAUCUAAAUAUUUAACAGGUUAAUGUUGACCGUCCUCAUUUCUCUUCUUAAUAUAGUGUUUCUCUUUUCUGCAUAAGGGCCGGUAGCUCAGUUGGUUAGAGCGCACCCCUGAUAAGGGUGAGGUCGGAAGUUCGAAUCUUCCUCGGCCCACCAUAACUUAACUGGGGGAUUAGCUCAGCUGGGAGAGCGCCUGAUUUGCAUUCAGGAGGUCAGCGGUUCGAUCCCGCUAUCCUCCACCACGAAACACUUAGAUCUUUAAAAUUGUAAAUAUAAUUAUUAUCAAUAUCUAUAUCCGAACAUUAGUUGAUUAGUUUAAUUAAUGUUCAAAUAAAAAAUUUGAUUCAAAACACAGAAAUUUUUUCUGUGCAUAAAUCAAGCGUUUAAGGGCGUGUGGCGGAUGCCUUGGCACUGAAAGACGAUGAAGGACGUGGUAUACUGCGAUAAGUUUCGGGGAGCUGUAUACAAGCUUUGAUCCGAAAAUUUCCGAAUGGGGAAACCCGG